GUGCUUUCAGCACAGGAGGAAGAGUCAUAGAAACCUACAGGACCUCUCUAACAGCUAAAAUGACAGAGGCAUUAAUUUGCACCCAGAAUUGGUUAAGGCCUUCUUUUACAUAUUUCAAAGACAUGAACCUCAUGGAAGAUUUUGAGCUUUCAGAAGAUAUUGUAACAGAGUUUCAAGAAAUGUCUGCAAGAGCAAGAGGAGGAUCCGGGAAUUCAGGUGUUUCGUCAUCACAUUCUCAGCCACAACCUUCUGGUUAUGCUUGAAAAUUUAGAUCAACUAUGUUUUUUGAUUUUUUUGAAGUCAUACAUGACUUAAAUAUUACUACUCAAUGGCCUAGUAAAGAAUAAUUAUUUUGUCGGGUGGAUUUUGAAGAAGCUAGGUGGGCUAUUACGCAAAAGAAUCCAUCGUAUUUUGCUUCAAUUUUACUUUACCAGUGACAUUACAGGUGAUUCAAACUAGAUAAUAUGAUGUUUUCUUGAAAUCAAGAGUAGUUAAUUUCAUUUUUCCAUUAACAUGACUGAAUUUGUGUAACAAAAUGGCACCAUGUCUAUAAUCUAAACUUGAUAUUGUAAUGACAGGCACUAGGACUAUCUUUUCUCUUGUCGGGGAAGUACAUGGAUAUGAAUCUAACAGUCCCAUAUGCUGCUGCACUUAGGUCUUUAACUGUGUAUCUGUUUAAUUCUCUUAUGUAAGUUAGAAUGUUGCAUCUGUUUUACUGUGCAUCUGAUUAAUAAUUUAACAAAACUUAUAAUUUUGAUGUUGCACUUAGGUGUGUU